AAAUAUUGAUUCCCGUACGAUCAAUGAAGUUAAGCAACAUUGAUCCUGGUUAGUACCUUGAUGGGUGACUGCUUUGGAAUACCAGGUGCUAUA